GAAAAUCAAUAUCUAUUUCUAUACUUUCUUAAAAAUAAAUAAUGUAUUUUCAUUCCUUUAUUACCACUCUUUUAGAACAAUGGAGGAAAUGUUUUAGUACAAAAUAUAUUCACAGAAAGGGCCCAUUCUCAGGAGGCUAAGGCAGGAUAACUGUCAUGUAUUCGAGGCCAGCCUGGGCUACAUAGUGCUACACCAGCCAGGCCUAUAUUGCAAGAACCAUUCUUAAAAGCAAAGACCAAGCCGGGCGUGGUGGCGCACACCUUUAAUCCCAGCACUCGGGAGGCAGAGGCAGGCGGAUUACUGAGUUCACGGCCAGCCUGGUCUACAGAGUGAAUUCCAGGACAGCCUGGGCUACACAGAGAAACCCUGUCUCAAAAAACAAACAAACAAACAAAAAAAGAAGUUAAAUAUCAUCAGGAAUAUCCUGAAAAUGGUAAGGCCUCACAGAUUAUAAAGCAAAGGUCGGGCUGGAGAGAUGGCUCAGUGGCUAAGAGCACUGACUGCUCUUCCAAAGGUCCUGAGUUCAAAUCCCAGCAACCACAUGGUGGCUCACAACCAUUUGUAAUGAUAUCUAACGCCCUCUUCUGGUGGGUCUGUAUACACUACAGUGUACUCACAUACUUUAUUUAUUAAUAAAGUAAAUCUUUAAAGUCUACACAGCAAUCCCAGGAAGGAGACAGUACUGCCAUCAUUCUCCUUUACAGAUGAGGAGACUGAGACAGACAGAGGAAUUCGAUCACUUGUGCACGAUCCCCCGGCUAGCAAUGGUGCAUAGAGAAAGGGGUGUAACUAAGUCCAGGAACAGAGACUGCUUUCCAGCUACAAACUCUCCUGCUUUAACAGAGUAACCCAUUCUAUACUAAAAUAAUGAGAAAAGAAUAAUGAAGACGGUUUAAUCCUUGAAACUGAAAAACUUAAACAGGCUCCUGUGUUGCUACAGUUACAUGGUUUGAAAGUGGUCUGUCCCUUAAGUCUUCAUGCUUUGGAGGUUUGGUGCCCAGGGCGGCAGUGUUGGUGAUGGCGUGGAACUGUUAAGAAGUGGGGCCUUGUGGGAGUCGUUAGACUACGGGGAGAAAUGCCCUGGGAGGGAAUGCUGGUUUCCUGUGGUGCACUCUUAAGGGAGCCAGUAGUUACACAAGCCCAAACUAAAUAUGCGACUUUCUUUGGCUUCCUGUUUAAGGACAUUUCCCUAUAUAACCUGUGGUAAUGCCGUCAAGUGUCACACUGCUUUACCAGUUGCCAAAGAAAUGGGCCUGUCCAAUCGUGACUUCUGAUCUCUAAGAUUAUGAGCCAAAAUAAAAAUAAGACUUUGUCUUUAUAAAAUUGGCCUCAUUACGAUAAAUCACUGCAGUGCUCUAAAGGCAGCUAAUACAGAACUGAAGGAACCAUGUCUAAGAUACCAUGUUCUGCAGAGCCGCACUUACACGCCACACAAUAGCA
rnacentral:lncRNA from 1 species